GACGAACGCUGGCGGCGUGCCUAAUACAUGCAAGUCGAACGCUUCUUUUCUACCGAGUGCUUGCACUCACUUGAAAAGAGGAGUGGCGGACGGGUGAGUAACACGUGGGUAACCUGCCCAUCAGAGGGGGAUAACACUUGGAAACAGGUGCUAAUACCGCAUAACAGUCGACACCGCAUGGUGUUGAUUUGAAAGACGCUUUCGGGUGUCACUGAUGGAUGGACCCGCGGUGCAUUAGCUAGUUGGUGGGGUAACGGCUCACCAAGGCCAUGAUGCAUAGCCGACCUGAGAGGGUGAUCGGCCACACUGGGACUGAGACACGGCCCAGACUCCUACGGGAGGCAGCAGUGGGGAAUCUUCGGCAAUGGACGAAAGUCUGACCGAGCAACGCCGCGUGAGUGAAGAAGGUUUUCGGAUCGUAAAACUCUGUUGUUAGAGAAGAACAAGUGGGAGAGUAACUGCUCCCGCCUUGACGGUAUCUAACCAGAAAGCCACGGCUAACUACGUGCCAGCAGCCGCGGUAAUACGUAGGUGGCAAGCGUUGUCCGGAUUUAUUGGGCGUAAAGCGAGCGCAGGCGGUUUCUUAAGUCUGAUGUGAAAGCCCCCGGCUCAACCGGGGAGGGUCAUUGGAAACUGGGAGACUUGAGUGCAGAAGAGGAGAGUGGAAUUCCAUGUGUAGCGGUGAAAUGCGUAGAUAUAUGGAGGAACACCA
rnacentral:rRNA from 1 species